UUUGAACGCUGGCGGCAGGCCUAACACAUGCAAGUCGAGCGAGCGGCGGACGGGUGAGUAAUUUAUGGGGAUCUGCCUGAUAAAGGGGGAUAAUUACGGGAAACGUUGGCUAAUCCCGCAUACUUACGGAUGAACCCAUAUUGGAUGAGCUAGUAGGUGGGGUACAGGCUCACCUAGGCGACGAUUCCUAGCUGGUCGGAGAGGAUGACCAGCCACACUGGGAAUGAGACACGGCCCAGACGCCUACGGGAGGCAGCAGUGGGGAAUAUUGCGCAAGGGUCGCAAGCCGGAUGCAGCCAUGCCGCGUGUAUGAAGAAGGCCUUAGGGUUGUAAAGCACUUUCAGCGGGGAAGCGUUACCCGCAGAAGAAGCACCGGCUAACUCCGUGCCAGCAGCCGCGGUAAUAC
rnacentral:rRNA from 1 species